UUAGAGAAAUGCUCCUGAUGGUAAGUUAUUUUUUCAUUUCUCUCUGUGUUUGGUUUAUUUCUUUUUCUUAAAUGUUGGCUUCUCUUACCAGGUGACAGGUCUUUUUAUGGAAGUUGAUGCUCGCGACCACUCUCUCCGGGAGUCCGUGGACCGCCAGAUCGAAGAGGCGCGUCGCGAUGAGAACCUGACUGCCACCAGCGACGCAAGAGGUCACCUGGUAGCCGCCCGGGAGCAGAUCCAGACUCUCCAGGUGGAGUUACAUUCUGCGCGGGAAGCCACUAAAAAGGCUGAAGACAAAGCGGCUGAGGCAGCAGAGCACAGCAAAUCCCUGGAAUCAGAGCUGUCC
rnacentral:lncRNA from 1 species